rnacentral:rRNA from 1 species
UACGGAGGGUGCAAGCGUUAUCCGGAUUUAUUGGGUUUAAAGGGUCCGUAGGCGGACUUAUAAGUCAGUGGUGAAAGCCUGUCGCUUAACGAUAGAACUGCCAUUGAUACUGUAAGUCUUGAGUAUAUUUGAGGUAGCUGGAAUAAGUAGUGUAGCGGUGAAGUGCAUAGAUAUUACUUAGAACACCAAUUGCGAAGGCAGGUUACCAAGAUAUAACUGACGCUGAGGGACGAAAGCGUGGGGAGCGAACAGG